rnacentral:rRNA from 1 species
GAUGAACGCUGGCGGCGUGCCUAAUACAUGCAAGUCGAGCGAACGGACGAGAAGCUUGCUUCUCUGAUGUUAGCGGCGGACGGGUGAGUAACACGUGGAUAACCUACCUAUAAGACUGGGAUAACUUCGGGAAACCGUAGCUAAUACCGGAUAAUAUUUUGAACCGCAUGGUUCAAAAGUGAAAGACGGUCUUGCUGUCACUUAUCGAUGGAUCCGCGCUGCAUUAGCUAGUUGGUAAGGUAACGGCUUACCAAGGCAACGAUGCGUAGCCGACCUGAGAGGGUGAUCGGCCACACUGGAACGGAGACACGGUCCAUACUCCUACGGGAGGCAGCAGUAGGGAAUCGUCCGCAAUGGGCGAAAGCCUGACGGAGCAACGCCGCGUGAGUGAUGAAGGUCUUCGGAUCGUAAAACUCUGUUAUUAGGGAAGAACAGAUGUGUAAGUAACUGUGCACAUCUUGACGGUACCUAAUCAGAAAGCCACGGCUAACUACGUG